rnacentral:rRNA from 1 species
CCUACGGGAGGCAGCAGUGGGGAAUAUUGCACAAUGGGGGAAACCCUGAUGCAGCGACGCCGCGUGAGUGAAGAAGUAUUUCGGUAUGUAAAGCUCUAUCAGCAGGGAAGAAAAUGACGGUACCUGAUUAAGAAGCCCCGGCUAACUACGUGCCAGCAGCCGCGGUAAUACGUAGGGGGCAAGCGUUAUCCGGAUUUACUGGGUGUAAAGGGAGCGUAGACGGCAGUACAGGUCUGGAGUGAAAUGCCGGGGCUUAACCCCGGAACUGCAUUGGAAACUGUGCGGCUGGAGUGCAGGAGAGGUAAGUGGAAUUCCUAGUGUAGCGGUGAAAUGCGUAGAUAUUAGGAGGAACACCAGUGGCGAAGGCGGCUUACUGGACUGUAACUGACGUUGAGGCUCGAAAGCGUGGGGAGCAAACAGGAUUAGAUACCCCUGUAGUC